GAUGAACGCUGGCGGCGUGCCUAAUACAUGCAAGUCGAGCGGACGGACGAGAAGCUUGCUUCUCUGAUGUUAGCGGCGGACGGGUGAGUAACACGUGGAUAACCUACCUAUAAGACUGGGAUAACUUCGGGAAACCGUAGCUAAUACCGGAUAAUAUUUUGAACCGCAUGGUUCAAAAGUGAAAGACGGUCUUGCUGUCACUUAUAGAUGGAUCCGGGCUGCAUUAGCUAGUUGGUAAGGUAACGGCUUACCAAGGCAACGAUGCAUAGCCGACCUGAGAGAGUGAUCGGCCACACUGGAACUGGGACAGGGUCCAGACUCCUACGGGAGGCAGCAGUAGGGAAUCUUCCGCAAUGGGCGAAAGCCUGACGGAGCAGCGCCGCGUGAGUGAUGAAGGUCUUCGGAUCGUAAAACUCUGUUAUUAGGGAAGAACAUAUGCGUAAGUAACUGUGCACAUCUUGACGGUAACUAAUCAGAAAGCCACGGCUAACUACGUG
rnacentral:rRNA from 1 species